UGCCCACUGAAGUUAUUUAAAUGGCCGCAGUAUUCUAACUGUGCAAAGGUAGCAUAAUCAUUAGUCUUUUAAUUGAAGGCUGGUAUGAACGGUUGGACGAGGUAUAAGCUGUUUCAUAUAAAUUUAUAAUAGAAUUUUAUAUUUUAGUCAAAAAGCUAAAAUUUAAUUAAAAGACGAGAAGACCCUAUAAAUCUUUAUACUUUAUGUUGUUUAAAUUUUUUGGAUUAAUUUUAUUUUUAUAGUUUGAGGUAUUUUGUUGGGGUGAUAUUAAAAUUUAAUGAACUUUUAAUUAUUAAAAAUCAUUAAUUUAUGAAUUAUUGAUCCAUUAGUAGUGAUUAUAAGAUUAAGUUACUUUAGGGAUAACAGCGUAAUUUUUUUGGAGAGUUCAUAUCGAUAAAAAAGUUUGCGACCUCGAUGUUGGAUUAAGAUAUAUUUUUAGGUGUAGCCGCUUAAAU
rnacentral:rRNA from 1 species